CCUACGGGGGGCUGCAGUGAGGAAUAUUGGUCAAUGGACGCAAGUCUGAACCAGCCAUGCCGCGUGAAGGAUGAAGGCCUUCUGGGUUGUAAACUUCUUUUACCUGGGAAGAAAACUACGAUUUCUAUCGUAGCCGACGGUACCAGAGGAAUAAGCACCGGCUAACUCCGUGCCAGCAGCCGCGGUAAUACGGAGGGUGCAAGCGUUAUCCGGAUUUACUGGGUUGAAAGGGGGCUUUGACGGGCGUUUAGAAAUCUCCGGGCUCAACCUGGAAACUGCCAUUGAUACUAUUAGUCUUGAAUUUUGUUGAGGUAGGCGGAAUAAGUCAUGUAGCGGUGAAAUGCUUAGAUAUGACUUAGAACACCAAUUGCGAAGGCAGCUUGCUAAACAAAUAUUGACGCUGAGGCACGAAAGCGUGGGGAUCAAACAGGAUUAGAUACCCUGGUAGUC
rnacentral:rRNA from 1 species